rnacentral:rRNA from 1 species
GUGGGGAAUAUUGGACAAUGGGCGAAAGCCUGAUCCAGCCAUGCCGCGUGAGUGAUGAAGGCCCUAGGGUUGUAAAGCUCUUUCACCGGGGAAGAUAAUGACGGUACCCGGAGAAGAAGCCCCGGCUAACUUCGUGCCAGCAGCCGCGGUAAUACGAAGGGGGCUAGCGUUGUUCGGAAUUACUGGGCGUAAAGCGCACGUAGGCGGAUCAGUCAGUUAGGGGUGAAAUCCCAGGGCUCAACCCUGGAACUGCCUUUAAUACUGCUGAUCUAGAGUUCGAGAGAGGUGAGUGGAAUUCCGAGGGUAGAGGUGAAAUUCGUAGAUAUUCGGAGGAACACCAGUGGCGAAGGCGGCUCACUGGCUCGAUACUGACGCUGAGGUGCGAAAGCGUGGGGAGCAAACAGGAUUAGAAACCCCUGUAGUCC